rnacentral:rRNA from 1 species
AACGAUUAAAGCUCCCUUCGGGGAGUGCAUAAAGUGGCGCACGGGUGAGUAACACGUAAGUAAUCUACCCUCGGGUGGGGAAUAACGUUCGGAAACGAACGCUAAUACCGCAUAAUGCAGCGGCACCGCAAGGUGACAGUUGUUAAAGGAGCAAUCCGCCUGGGGAGGAGCUUGCGGCAGAUUAGCUAGUUGGUAAGGUAACGGCUUACCAAGGCUACGAUCUGUAUCCGGUCUAAGAGGACGGUCGGACACACUGACACUGAAUAACGGGUCAGACUCCUACGGGAGGCAGCAGUCGGGAAUUUUGGGCAAUGGGGGAAACCCUGACCCAGCAACGCCGCGUGAAGGAUGAAGUAUUUCGGUAUGUAAACUUCGAAAGAAUAGGAAGAAUUAAUGACGGUACUAUUUAUAAGGUCCGGCUAACUACGUGCCAGCAGCCGCGGUAAUACGUAGGGACCAAGCGUUGUUCGGAUUUACUGGGCGUAAAGGGCGCGUA